AGGCAGGAGAAGAGCUGGCAAGGUGAAAGGGCGGCCGAGGGGCUGGAGCUCAGGGACCAGGGCGAAAUAAGAGAGGUGCCUAGGAAAGAGCCAGAGGCUGUUUACUCUCCAUUACCAGUGAAAGCUAGCAUAAGCAAGCAGCCGCUUCCCAUCGAUUACCACGAAGGCAGCCGCCAGACCGGCAAUGUCACACCAGGGUACAGGGAGUGUGUUGCUGCUCCUCCUGGCCUGAGAGCAAAGCUCAGUCACCUCCACGCUCUUUUGUCAGGCAGGUGGAGGGGCGGUCCCUGCGUGUCAAAAAGACCCCCUUUGGCUGUUGGGAAACAGCCCGGAUGUGCACUGAAUACAAUCUCCGAUGUUGUUAUUCAGCAGCAAGAAGGACCAGAAAGAAAAGCAACGGGAAAAGAUAUUGUUUGGGUACAAUCUGUGUUUGCAAUUUUCCACAUCGGUUCUUUUUAUGAACGCUCCACAAACAAGACAACAGCAGUGGCUGAUUCAAUAUGCGCCAUGCAGGAAAACAAUAAGGAAAAAAAUAAGGGUUUUUAAUAAGCACUUGGAAAGGCUGUAAUUAAAUCUCGGGCUCUGUUUGGAAAACAAGAAUCUCAUUUAGUGCUUUUGCCCCGGCGCUCCCUAACAUCUGCACCCGUGUUUUCUGCUGGGCAAUUACUGAAUCCUCUGC
rnacentral:lncRNA from 1 species